CCGAGCUUGACGUGUUGGUGGUCGCCGUUUAACUUGUACUCUCGCACGCUCCUUGGAAAUCAAAAGAAAAUGGUAUUUUAUUUAACAGAAUUGAAGAAAAAUAUUUUAACAACUUGUUCGAGAUUAAGAGAUCAAGAUGGUUUGUCAUCCUGACUUUACCAACAAAGUACUCAGUCGUAUAUAAUUGUGAAGAGAGCGUAUGACAGCGAUGUACAAAAUGUUUGCAAGAUGGACAGAGCAUUUGUCACUCCGACAUACAGCAUCAACAACUUCAAAAGCAAACAAAAAAAAUAAUCCACCGAAUUUAGCGCCUUUAGAAUCUGAGUAUUUUGAAUUACUCAGACUUGGCAUGUGURUAACUAGUGAAUUCAAUCAGUGAGUGAACUUGAUGAACUUCCAAAGCAACAACAACUUACCUUYCCAACGUUUUCUAAGGUUUUAGCAACGGGAGGCUCCUCAAAUGABGCCUUUUCCGAGGCUUCUUUCCUUGGUGGAGGUCCGCCUGGCCUCAACAUGGCAGGGUUGAAGGCCAGGGAUUUCUAAAAGCAAUACAAUGUCAAUAUAUGUGAGUUAAAUUGAA